rnacentral:rRNA from 1 species
GAUGAACGCUGGCGGCGUGCCUAAUACAUGCAAGUCGAGCGAACGGACGAGAAGCUUGCUUCUCUGAUGUUAGCGGCGGACGGGUGAGUAACACGUGGAUAACCUACCUAUAAGACUGGGAUAACUUCGGGAAACCGUAGCUAAUACCGGAUAAUAUUUUGAACCGCAUGGUUCAAAAGUGAAAGACGGUCUUGCUGUCACUUAUAGAUGGAUCCGCGCUGCAUUAGCUAGUUGGUAAGGUAACGGCUUACCAAGGCAACGAUGCAUAGCCGACCUGAGAGGGUGAUCGGCCACACUGGAACUGGGACAGGGACCAGGCUCCUGAGGGAGGGAGCAGUAGGGUAUCGUACGCAAUAGGCGAAAGCCUGACGGAGCAACGCCGCGUGAGUGAUGAAGGUCUUCGGAUCGUAAAACUCUGUUAUUAGGGAAGAACAUAUGUGUAAGUAACUGUGCACAUCGUGACGGUACCUAAUCAGAAAGCCACGGCUAACUACGUG